UACGUAGGGUGCGAGCGUUGCCCGGAUUUAUUGGGCGUAAAGGGCGCGUAGGCGGCUCGACACGUUCGUUGUGAAAUCGCCCGGCUCAACUGGGCGGGGUCAGCGGAUACGGUCGAGCUUGAGCAAGCUAGGGGGCAAUGGAAUUCCCGGUGUAGUGGUGGAAUGCGUAGAUAUCGGGAGGAACACCAGUGGCGAAGGCGGUUGCCUGGGGGCUUUGCUGACGCUGAUGCGCGAAAGCGUGGGGAGCGAUCCGG
rnacentral:rRNA from 1 species